rnacentral:tRNA from 1 species
GCCUAAAGUCCUUUAAC